GUAAUCAAUUUAAGGUGGGGUCAUACUUAAUUAGGGUAGGCUCUUAUAGAAGAGAAGAGCAGGCGCAUGGGGGAACGCCAUGUGAUGCCAGAAGCAGAGAGAGGGGCGAUGAAGCUGUGAGCCAAAGAAUGUCAAGGGCUGAUGCCCACCAGCAGAAGUUGGCAAAAGGCAAAGAAUGAUUCCACUCAGUGUCUCAAAGUUUAGUCCUCAGGUGGCAAAAUACCAGAAUUGGACUGUGACUGAACUAUAACAGGAAGAAGGAACCGCCAGAGAUAGUCCAAUGAAAGUCUUUGGAUUCUUCUUUUGAGGAAAAGGAGUAGCUAUUUCCUGUAGCACCUCAUGCCUGGAUUAUUGCAGAGGAUUUUGCCUUAAUGUUUCUCAGAGACGUGUCAAAUACGAAAACCUUGUGUCUUCUUGAAUUUCAGAGGACAAGUAUCAGGUUCUCCAAGAGGUACUCAAAGGCUUUUCUCCAUUUCUCCAUGCAGAAAUUCCCAGGGACUUAAAUAUGGCCAUGAAUUGUGACGUGCAGAAGGAGGGUUUAUAACAUUCAAGUUUUCCAAACUUAUAUUGGCCCUGAGCUAACAUCUGUGCCCAUCUUCCUCUAUAUUGUAUGUGAGACGUCCCCACAGCAUGGCUUGAUGAGUGGUGUAGGUCUGUGCCUGUGAUCCGGACCCGUGAACCUGGGCCACUGAAGUGGAGCAUGCUGAACUCAGCCACUACACAACCAGCAGGACGGCCCUGUCUUUCUUUCUUUUUUGACUACUUGAUCUGUCAAAAGUUAAGUUCUCCCACAGCUGUUUGUUCCUGUCAAUUUCUUCUUUUAACAGUUUGAACUUAAUUAAUAUUUGACAGUAUGUGAUUUAGUACUUAAAGAUUUUUGACUGUUAUAUCUUUGUUAUGGGCUAUAUCUUUUUAUCAGUAUUAAAAAAAACCCAGUUUUGCUUUUAAUUAUCAUUUAGUUUACCUGAUAAUUGGUGUUAACUUUUUUGAGGUUAUUUUCUUGACCUCCAACUCAGAAGAAACCACGCAAAUGACACCGUGUUCAGGUGAAGAUGAGUUUGGUAGUUACUGCAGUAAGGAGAAAUUCACCUAUGGGUGGAUGUGUAAGGAGUUCUGUGGUUUGGUUUAAAGUGGUCUUCAAUGCGGGAAUCUGAGUAGAUUGUGCAAAGCUUUUGAUGUUAUAGUUUAGGAUUGGUGGACGUGGCCAGAUAAGAGUUUUGAAGCCUUGAUGAGUCAAACAGCUGUUUGAUAACAGAGUUUGCCCAUUGAAGAAAUCUCUUUUCCCGAGAAGAAGGCUGUUCACUCUAAUGCCCUUAGAAGGAGGCAAGUUGAACAGCCUAUUGUUUGGAUAAAUGGAUUUUACGGAGUUCAUGAAACAAAGAGUAAUGUUUUUUAAAACUUUAUAUUCCUGGGCAAGAAUUUACUGGAAUAGUAAAAUCAUUUUAACUUAGGACAGUCAAUUCUUGAUCCUAUUAAAUUUGUGGUUACAGACAGUUUGUUCUCAAUUUGAUAAAUCUUUGCCCAUCUUUUUAAAACAUUUUAAUGCCAUGUUAUUUUAGGUAUGUCUCUUGGAAGCAGCAUGUAUUUAGAUUAUGUCUUUUAACUCAAUUUGAGAAUCUUAGUAUUGUAGUGGAGAAAUAUAAGCUUUUUGUCCUACGUUCAAAUAUUUUAUCUUAAAUCCUUCAUCUGUCUUUUGUAUUUUCUUAGUCUUAUUAAAUGUGGCUGUUUCCUUUAGUUUUACCUUCUCUAGUAAUUGAAAGCUGUAGUCCUCAUCAAUGUUAGUAUAAUAUGAAACUUGCCAUUUUUAACCAAAUACAUGCUACCUUUCAUGUCUCUUCUUUCAGUGAUUAUUUUUGAGAUUUUGUGUUCAACUUUUUACUCCAACAGUUGUUUAAAUUUGUCUUUGUUUAACUAUUCUCAAAGUGUACCAUUUGUGUCUUUAUAUCCUAACUUUCUCAUUCUUGAACUCUUAAUUUUGAUAUCUUUAGGAAAAUAUCAUGAAGGGCACAGAGGGGUUAUAUUUUUGAAUUCUUGUAUAUCUGAGAGUCUUCCCGUUGUUUUAAAAAAUGAAUGACAUUUGGCCAGAACUAAUCAUUAGGUCACAAUUCUUUCUCUGAAAAUUUUCUGUUCAUUAUUUUACUAUUAAGUAAUUUUAGAAAUGUCAGAGUCUACCUGGCUUUUAUUCCUUAGAGGUUAAUCUAUU
ensembl:lncRNA